CCUACGGGUGGCAGCAGUGAGGAAUAUUGGUCAAUGGGCGCGAGCCUGAACCAGCCAAGUAGCGUGAAGGAUGACUGCCCUACGGGUUGUAAACUUCUUUUAUAAAGGAAUAAAGUGAGGCACGUGUGCCUUUUUGUAUGUACUUUAUGAAUAAGGAUCGGCUAACUCCGUGCCAGCAGCCGCGGUAAUACGGAGGAUCCGAGCGUUAUCCGGAUUUAUUGGGUUUAAAGGAAGCGGAGAUGGGUUGUUAAGUCAGUUGUGAAAGUUUGCGGCUCAACCGUAAAAGUGCAAUUGAUACUGGCAGUCUUGAGUACAGUUGAGGUAGGUGGAAGUCGUGGUGUAGCGGUGAAAUGCUUAGAGAUCACGAAGAACUCCGAUGGCGAAGGCAGCCUACUAAACUGCCACUGACAUUGAGGCUCGAAAGUGUGGGUAUCAAACAGGAUUAGAUACCCGGGUAGUC
rnacentral:rRNA from 1 species